CCCGAGCUUGGUGAACCAAACUUCGGUAAACCUUUGGUUACCGUUAUUUCGUACUAAUUAGGCAAUCCAUGAUAUGCCAAACUUAGGCAAUGCCAAACUAUUACGAGAUUACAUCGAAUGUGGAAUUCUUUUGGCAUACCAAUAUUCGGCUUGCCUAAUUUAAAACAAAUAAGAUCCGAAUUGGGCUAGCCUAACGGGAAAAAAUUUCUGAGAAAAA